AACAGAGACUCGAUACCUUUUCGGUACUCUUUGCAGUCUGGCAAAUAGUCUGUUUUCCAGCACUGAAUAAACAGCAUUCCUCUUUCUUGCUUGCCACAAUCACUCGAGGCUUUGCCUGUUUGACAGAGAUAAUAGCAGCUAUUGUCAGUAAAACCUCCUGACUCAUAAAGAAGUUUAUUCCUGUUCUGCCUUCUCCAGAGAGUAACUUUACUUCAGGACACAAAGGACUGGAUUCUUCCUGCCAUCCUUGCCAGAUUUUAUUUUAUUUUUUACAUGACAGGGGAACAAAGGGAGUCCACUGUAGUUCAGAUUUACAUGGAAACAUCAUUCUUUGCUGUUUGGCAUUAGUUUGGGACAAAAAAAGAGUUGUCUUUCAGAGUUUCAGUCAAUUGGAUGUCUCAUUAUGGCAUGUAGCUGAGGUGGGAUAUAGCAAACUGAAGCAACUGAGCACUGAAUCCUCAUCACUGAAAAUGAAUACAUUAAAAAAUGAACUAAGGAGAAGACUCCUGUCUGUGUGACUGAGGCAGGGGAUGGGGAUUUGAGAAUGAGCACCAGGACAGGUAAUGGGACCUUCCCGGGGGGUAUCUGUCUGCCUGUCAUCUGCUUCCCAGCAUUUCUGGCUGAGAAGGGUCCGUAUCCAUACUCACACUCCUGGUUGCUAUCACACUUUACCUCCACAGAUCCCUGAUCACAUUGCAAACGUUAUUACAUUUAGCUUCAUGAACUGUCUUUCAUCAUAACAGAUUGUUAAUAUAACCCAUUUUAUGGUUCGAGGGAAAUAAAGAACCGAGACCGACAGCAGUUUCAGAGCCAUCAAAUCCUCAGCUGGAGAUUUCACUGGAUUUCAAGAUCCCUUCUUCCAUUCCCAUGCACUCGCUGCCAAAGAAACAUAAGUCAUGCAUGUCACUAUCUCAAUUAUAAGAGAAAAUCAAUGACUGUGCAGCCCCAUACUUUGACAAGCAAAACUACUCCUAAUACUGCAGCUUAAUACCUUUAUUAUUAUUUAUUCAAGCAGUUUUGUGCUGCUUUUCUUUUUAAACUGCUUAAGAGUCUCUGUGUUUGUAGACUGGAAGGAGGCUGCUUUUAUAUUAGUCUUUACAUUUAUCUGAACUGAUUUUAUAAGAGCAUAUGUGUAAGAUCCACAGAGCAUCAGAAAUAUUUCCCACUGCUCUCAAACAUAGACACACACUGUUUCAGGACACCCAUUAAUAAUCCCUGCUCUGGGGAGUGCCUCACUAUCAAAGUGCUGGGUUGGUUUAUUAGUUUACAGGUUAUUACUUCUCCAGUUUAGAUUUCUCUCUUGUCUCUUUUAUGAUGCAGAAUAUAGACUGUGAGCUGGAACCUCGGGUGCAGCUGGACUCUGGGCUGCGCAGCCGAGGAGAGAGGAAAGGAAUUAGUUUGCUCCCUGAUGCAGGAGCUGCUUGGGAAUUAUUCUGACCCUUGUUAUAAAUCAGGUACAUGAAGUGGAGCUGCCUGAUUCUGGUCCUUCUCACUUCAAAGUCCACUUUCCUCCUGAUAGAGGUGCUGCCAGCAUUGGGUUGGAAGGUGGUGAGUCUUUUGCACUGUCCAGAAUUGACUAUCCAGAAAUGGAAGACAAAAAGGAAGAAGAAAAUUCCAUCCUACUAAAACCUCUGGAGGAAUUUAGGUUGGCAGAAUGUUGUUACUCAAACUGGAAUGUGGCCAGGACACCAGGAUUAAUGUUAGCACAAAAUGCCAUUUGAUUGCAAGUGUUCAGAUAACCUUGGAUGAAAGUCUUAACUGAAAAGAGGCUCUUCUAACAGAAAAGGGCUCCCUCAUGUUGGCCUGGACUUUGGUUCAGGGUUGACUCUGAGAAUUUUUGCUUUUUGCUUCAGCAGUUUUUGAAUGGGACAGCUCUUGAAUGGUAACAGAUCUCCCCUACACAGCCUGCAGCACAGCAGAUUAUUUCCCAGAGAGAAUUCCAUGCCAUAGACUGAUGUUUCUUUUUAGAGAAGUUUCCUGAUAUAUCAUGCAAACAGGACAAAUAAAAGCUUGACAGAACACUUGCUAGGGGAAGGUCCUAAAGAUUAGAAAGCAGGAGAGAUGUUCAGUGUUAAGAAGGCACUGGGACAAAUGCAGAGUAGCUAUUUAUGUCAUGGAGUUGCUCAUGAACAAGUGAGACCAUCAUUUACCCCAUUCUCAUUUUAUUCUCCUCUCUGGUUGUUUCUACUGUUAAUCCUCUAAUACAUGUUGUGGCUUGGGCUGGGAAAACCAGGUGGUUUCCAGCUAAAGCUUUGGUGAUUAAGAACAGUGUUAAUCAAAAUUUCUUCUCUUUCUGUCUCUCUUUUUUUUUUUUUUUUUUCCAAUUAAAUUGUAAAUAUGUGCUGAGGAACAACCAUUAGCUUCCAGGGACUGAGAAGUGUUCCCACAUGCUUGGCCAUCUUCAGAAAACCCUGUCACAGUUACAGACCAUGAAAUAUGGAUUCCAACAGAACAAUGUUCCCCAAACCAGCUGGGACCAACAUUACAACUCAGCAUUCUUUGCAGAAGUUUAUUUGCUGUUGACUUGGAAGCUACAUUAGAGCUUUGGAGAGGAGUUUCUGCUUUUCUACACAACAAUGCAACACGGAUCCCACAGCAUCAGCUCCCACAGAGAAGCUGGAGACAGCAGGAUUGUAUCCCUGUCUGGAGGAGAAAGAGAAGUGUGCAGCUCCAUCUCUGGGUGCUCUCCUGACACUACAGCUCCAUCUUUUCGGUAAGGCAGGAGCUCCAUGCAUUGGGAACAAUCCUUACAGGGCUGUGUGCAUGGAUAAGCUGUAUGUGAGCAUGAGACUUGCUUUGCUGCUUGUUUUUGAGGGCAAAACACAUUGCUGCUGUUGUGUGGUAUGAAUGUGACCUAAACUUCUUAAAGUGGAGCUAUUUUCCAUUUUACUCAAGCUCCAUUGAUGUUUUCCCUUGUUUUCCAUGAGAAGACACUGAUUUCCACUUUUCCUCCAGCUCAGUUUUCCCAUUCCUUUCCUGCAGCACUGAGGACUUGCAUAUGAGCCAAGAUAUGAUUCCUCUAAGAAUAUAUUUAAUUUAAUAUUCUUUUUUCCAGCCUUCAUUAUUUUUCAUUUGUAGGUUAACCAGCACCUGAGAUGCUCAGUGCUUUCCCUAACUUUGUUUUAACUAGUUAAACUUUUAAAUUAAACAUUUUUAUUCCCCUCUCAUUCAGUUUGAGGGUUAUUGUAUAAUUCUGCAUUAAAAAAACCCAGCAAAUGGAGAAGUAAUCACAGAUACAUUUUGCUGAGAAGAAGUAGAUGGCAUAAAGGAUUGAACAUACUAUCCCACAGAUAUCCCUGCAUCUGACAAAAUAGGCCAAACUCAUUCUUUACAUGGCUCCACCAGGGAUGAACAAGCCUCAGGGGCUGUAAGGAAGACCACGUGCUGACUAUUUGUUUCAUGGAGUCCCUGGAAUAUUGAAUAUGUGCUUGAUAUGCAAGAGUAGGCUGAAAUCUGCAAUCAGCUCCAUGAGUGCACUUGAAUCUGAGUCAGGAGCAGUGACACCUGCGUGAUGAAGAAGGGCAUUCAUUCUGCUCUGUUCAGGUUGUACCAGCCUACUGGUGUGGACAGAGUUCAGCAUGUACUGUCUUGGGCUGAGGGAUCACACAAUCAUGCUCCAACAAUCUCCUCUAUAUAUUUCUACUACAUGCUGGACAACUCAAUGCUCUGCUGACAAGUGACAUCCCCUCUUAUCUGGGUGUCUGCUCUGUCCAUGCACAGCAGCAAACAGCAGCACACUGGACUUACCAAUAUGAAUGGGGAAAAAAGCUGUUGUGUGACCUUCACGUGGGGCUGCCUUUCCUUCUGCAAGAUCACUUCUGUCUUGGGGGCAUCAGUGUCAGUGCAACCAGUCUCCCAUUACUGCAGGCAGAUGUGAUGCAGCUGUGCAGGGUCUGUGGUGCUGUACAUCUCACACACCUGCUCCUCAUGCCCAACAUUAAUAACAGGACUUGGUACAAAAGACUAAAAGUCUCAAAGCCAACACAUGAAGAGAGAAGGAGAGACCAAUGCAUGUCACCACUGCCUUAAAAGGAAGAAUAAGAGGAGAAAAUUCCUAGGUGAUCCCUUUAUGUUAUCACUAGGAAUGGUCCUUUUGGGAAUGGUGCAAUGAAGAGCUUUUGAGAAAGUGUUGUUGAAGGAAUUUUUUUUUGGAAAUGUUAUUUCGACACAUCAGGCUAUAUUGUUUUGAUCACUCCCUUUUCAAAAGUAACUUUUAGGUUACAGUGUUCUGCUUUGAUGAUUUUUCAAACAAAGUUGCAGUCAUUUCACUUCUCCUUUAUUUUUUUAUCCACAUUUUAUCUUACGUGGGAGAAGUGAGCAAAGGAAAACAUUUGAUUGACCCAAACUACCUGCAGGACAUGCUGUUUUUGUGAAAAGAUUUAAAAUAUUCCUUUUCUCUAUUUGGGUGAAAAUCUUAGGAUGUCUCACAUUUUGGAGAAAGGACAACACUUGAGGGCAUGUGGUACCUAGACCAAGGUGCUAAACCAGGACUGGUACUGAGUCUCUCUCUGGUGCAUCUGAAUGCAAUGGGUUUUGUAUUUAUCUACACAGUGAUCCAAUGUUUCAGUCGUGCCACCAUGUGAGCACUGUCCCUGGGGAAAGCUGGGCUCAGUGCUUGGCAGGAAGGCUUUUGGGAGCAUGUGCUGCAGACUUUCACCCUCUGAAACACAGCCCAGGGCUCCUUGAGGGGAUCACCAGCAGGAUUAGCCCUCAAGGAGGGUACUCAGGUGCCCUUGAUGGGUGAUUUAAAUGGAGAAAGCAGCAUAUCUUGCUGGGGAGAAAAACAGCCUUGGCAGGUGGCCUUUGUGCAAGACAAGUGCAUGGAAGUCCUCCUUUAGAGGAAGGAGAUGUGAUGUGGUGACAAGUAUAAGGGUUAGAUCCCCUCCAUCCCCUUUGGAUUUCCAGUCAAGGCUGGAAUUCCAUGUUCCUU